rnacentral:rRNA from 1 species
GCUACGGGAGGCAGCAGUGAGGAAUAUUGGUCAAUGGGCUUACGCCUGAACCAGCCAAGUCGCGUGAGGGAAGACUGCCCUAUGGGUUGUAAACCUCUUUUGUCAGGGAGCAAUUGGCGCUACGUGUAGCGUUAUCGAGAGUACCUGAAGAAAAAGCAUCGGCGAACUCCGUGCCAGCAGCCGCGGUAAUACGGAGGAUGCGAGCGUUAUCCGGAUUUAUUGGGUUUAAAGGGAGCGUAGAUGGGUUGUUAAGUCAGUUGUGAAAGUUUGCGGCUCAACCGUAAAAUUGCAAUUGAUACUGGCAGCCUUGAGUACAGUUGAGGUAGGCGGAAUUCGUGGUGUAGCGGUGAAAUGCUUAGAUAUCACGAAGAACUCCGAUUGCGAAGGCAGCUUACUAAACUGCCACUGACAUUGAUGCUCGAAAGUGUGGGUAUCAAACAGGAUUAGAUACCCCAGUAGUC